rnacentral:rRNA from 1 species
UACGGGGGGGGCAAGCGUUGUUCGGAAUUACUGGGCGUAAAGGGCUCGUAGGUGGCCAACUAAGUCAGACGUGAAAUCCCUCGGCUUAACCGGGGAACUGCGUCUGAUACUGGAUGGCUUGAGUUUGGGAGAGGGAUGCAGAAUUCCAGGUGUAGCGGUGAAAUGCGUAGAUAUCUGGAGGAAUACCGGUGGCGAAGGCGGCAUCCUGGACCGGCAUUGACGCUGAGGAGCGAAAGCCAGGGGAGCAAACGGG